rnacentral:rRNA from 1 species
GACGAACGCUGGCGGCGUGCUUAACACAUGCAAGUCGAACGGACCUUCGGGUUAGUGGCGAACGGGUGAGUAACACGUGGGUGAUCUGCCCUGCACUUUGGGAUAAGCCUGGGAAACUGGGUCUAAUACCGGAUAGGACUACGCACUGCAUGGUGUGUGGUGGAAAGCUUUUGCGGUGUGGGAUGGGCCCGCGGCCUAUCAGCUUGUUGGUGGGGUGAUGGCCUACCAAGGCGACGACGGGUAGCCGGCCUGAGAGGGUGACCGGCCACACUGGGACUGAGAUACGGCCCAGACUCCUACGGGAGGCAGCAGUGGGGAAUAUUGCACAAUGGGCGCAAGCCUGAUGCAGCGACGCCGCGUGAGGGAUGACGGCCUUCGGGUUGUAAACCUCUUUCGCCAGGGACGAAGCGCAAGUGACGGUACCUGGAGAAGAAGCACCGGCCAACUACGUGCCAGCAGCCGCGGUAAAAC